ensembl:snRNA U4 U4 spliceosomal RNA
AGCUUUGCGCAGUGGCAGUAUCAUAGCCAAUGAGGUUUACCUGAGGCGUGAUUAUUGCUAAUUGAACACUUUCCCCAAUACUCCACCAUGACGACUUGACAUAUAGUCAGCGGUGGCAAUUUUUGGCAGUCGCUAUGGGGG